rnacentral:rRNA from 1 species
UACGGAGGAUCCGAGCGUUAUCCGGAUUUAUUGGGUUUAAAAGGGUGCGUAGGCGGCUUUUUAAGUCAGCGGUGAAAUUUUGCAGCUUAACUGUAACAGUGCCGUUGAUACUGGGGAGCUAGGAUUUGGUUGCUGUGGGUGGAAUGUGUGGUGUAGCGGUGAAAUGCUUAGAGAUCACACAGAAUAUCGAUUGCGAAGGCAGCUCACAAAGCCAAGAUUGACGCUGAGGCACGAAAGUGUGUGGAUCAAACAGGAUUA